rnacentral:rRNA from 1 species
UACGUAGGGUGCGAGCGUUAAUCGGAAUUACUGGGCGUAAAGCGUGCGCAGGCGGUUUUGUAAGUCAGAUGUGAAAUCCCCGGGCUUAACCUGGGAAUGGCAUUUGGGACUGGAAGGCUUGAGUGUGGCAGAGGGGAGUGGAAUUCCUGGUGUAGCAGUGAAAUGCGUAGAUAUCCGGAGGAACACCGAUGGCAAAGGCAGGUCUCUGGGCUGACACUGACGCUCAUGCACGAAAGCGUGGGGAGCAAACAGG